rnacentral:rRNA from 1 species
UACGUAGGGUGCAAGCGUUGUCCGGAAUUAUUGGGCGUAAAGAGCUCGUAGGCGGUCUGUCGCGUCUGCUGUGAAAACUCGGGGCUUAACCCCGGGCCUGCAGUGGGUACGGGCAGACUAGAGUGCGGUAGGGGAGACUGGAAUUCCUGGUGUAGCGGUGAAAUGCGCAGAUAUCAGGAGGAACACCAGUGGCGAAGGCGGGCAUCUGGGCCAACACUGACGCUGAGGUGCGAGAGCGUGGGGAGCGAACCGG